UUUUUUUUUUUUCUUCGCUAAAUCUGACAACUCUAGGUUGUACUUGCUACUAAAGUUUUUACAAAAAUCAUACCUACACUUAUAAUAGGCAAAGAGGUAUGCAGAAAACAAAACAUAUAUACAUUGUUAAAACUUGGGACCCUUGAAAAUAUCCUUUGUGCUGUUUCUUACUCUGAUGGACAUCUCCUUACAAGGAUGGGUUUGCCAUCAUCUUUAUAGCUCACUUGAAAUCCCUCACCUCUGCCCAACCUUCCUCACUCAGUUUAUAAUUCUCUUCCCAUGAUCACUCUUUGCAUCAUUAAGUUCAGCCACUUUGACCCUUCUUCCGUUCCCAAGCAAUUACUAUUCAAUUGGGUGCUUCACCUUGACUUGCUCUGUCUUAUGAUGAUAAAUCAAAACAUCUCUUUACAAGUCAGUGAACCACAUUAAGGAAACACUGCCUGGCUAGUAAGUGGUUCCCUGAUUCUUCCAAAUUGACUUCAAGGAUCAGAUGCCUUACCUGCCCUGUGCUCUCCAACUUUAGGAAAUCCUUCCAGAAAAGCAACUCCAGGACCCCAACCCUAAUUCUGAUCUGGUCCACCAUUACUCUCCAUCAGCUGGAGAAGGUCCUAGUUGGGAACAGCAAGGAACAGACAAAGCCCUGAACAAUUUUCUCACGAAUGAAACAAAUAGGUUCCUCCUAGAGUCCCAGGGGACACCUCAACCAUGUUGUUUACAAAAGCCACGCUGUUUACAAACGGUGCCACAUCUAGCAUUGCUCCAGGCGUGGAGACUUGAGCCCAUUUACAAAUGUAUGUCUGGAGGAAAGGACUUUCAGUUUGCACAGAAAGUAAUUGGGAUUAUGAGCGAGAGACAGAAUCAAACUCAGAGGAUACCAGAGUAGCCGUUAAGAGGUGAUGAGACAUGGAUGCUUCCUAGUUAGGCUGGUUAGGAAGAAAGAACAUUAGUGAGCUCAAGAAAGAGCUGAUAAUGGAUCCAGGGGGGAAAAACACUUUGAUUUACCAGAAGAACAUCAUUAAAGACAGCCAUGGUGGUAGAGAGGUAGAUAACAUCAUUGUUAUUUAAAACUUCCAUUUUAUUACUAGUAUUAGCAUCAUUUCCCUUUAUUGCUUCAUCCUCACGAGAAAGCUAAGAUAGAUAAUGAUUACACUCUGUCCCAAGGAAAAGACUGUAGUAAGCAGGAUGUAGGAACUUCAAGGGACCCAGGUUUCUUGACCUCCGGUCCAGGGUGCCUUCCUUGCCUAGCAGAGAGGUGCUUCUUUAUUAGGAACCAGCUGGACCCUGGCCAGGAAGCCAAUUUCAGACUCAUCCCAGUACUUCUGGAAGGAUGUGCUGGGAUUUCAGACUACGCUGUGUCGGGGUGAAUAGCCCAGGACGAAAAGGGGGCCUGGAUCCUGGCUCUUUUUGCCAGCUUGGAUUCUCUCGUCUCUAGUUGGGGUUAAUACUAGUAUGGCAAAGAGGUGCUGUGAGCUAUCGCUGAGCUGGUACAUGUAAAGUGCUGGCACCUAGUUGCAAUAUGCAUACACACUAUGAUUAAGAGAGAUCUCUGGAGUUCCUGUCGUGGCUCAGUGGGUUAAGAACCCAACUAGUAUCCAUGAGGAUAUGGGUUCACAACUCUAGCCUUGUUCAGUGUGUUAAAGAUCUGGCGCUGCUGAGAGCUAUGGUGUAGGUUGCAGACGAAGUUCGGAUCCUACGUUGCUGUGGCUGUGGGGCAGGCCAGCAGCUGCAGCUCCGAUUUGACCCCUUGCCUGGGAAAUUCCGUAUGCUGCAGUUGAAGCCCUGAGAAAAGCAAAAACAAAACAAAACAAACAAAAAAACCUCACACCAGAGACUUCUAACUGUAGGUUCAGGAAUCUAACCUGUGUUCAAAUCUAUGCAAAUCCCCACAAAGGUAGGGAUGAAAUGGAUGAGAGGUGGUAGUUUUUGAAAGCUCCCGAAAGGCUGGUCGAGUUACAUGUUUUCUGAAAUUUUUUUUGUGUAUGUCUUUUUGUCUUUUUGCCAUUUCUUGGGCCACUCCCAUGGCAUAUGGAGGUUCCCAGGCUAGGGGUCCAAUCGGAGCUGUAGCCACCAGCCACAGCCACGUCUGCAACCUACACCACAGCUCAUGGCAAUGCAGGAUCCCUAACCCGCUGAGCAAGGCCAGGGAUCGAACCCACAACCUCAUGGUUCCUAUUUGGAUCCGUUAACCACUGAGCCACGACGGGAACUCCCCACAUGUUUUCUGAAUUGACAUGAGAAAGUUACAAGCUAAUAAUGACUCCCAUUUGUUGACUGCUCACUGUGUCAGACACCAUGAUAAACCUUUACAUGCAUAUCCGCAUUUACUCUCCCAGGACCUUACGAGUCAGGAAUGGUUUUUCUUUACUCCAGCUUACAGUUAGGGAAACCUUGGUUUAGUGGGGUGAAGAAAUUGCCCAUUGUCACACAUUUCAUAAGUGCUAGGAUCAGGAUUCAUUUAGUUUAUGCUCUUCAACAUGAACAGCCCAACCAAACCAGUCUGGCAAGGAAGGGUGUGUGUGUGUGUGGGUGUGUGUGUGUGUGUGUGUGUGUGUGUGUGUGUGUGUAGGAGGAGGGAGAUAGGGCCAGGGUCACCUAGUACACAACAGAUAUAGCACACAGAGAAUAUAAAAACUAUAAGAGGCAUUUCAAAUAAUCUCCUAACAGUGAGCUAAUAUUGAUAGUGUUUACCAUGCACCAUCCAUCCUACUAAGAGCCUUAAAACAAUCAUCUCAUUUAAUCUCACAACCGUCCCAUGAAAUUUGAUCCUAUUAUCAUCUCCCACCUUCACAAGGAACUGUUGGUAACAAUGGUUGUAUAUACUUCAGUAAUCUGUUCAGUGCAUUUUAUUCUUAUUUUACAGAUGAGUGAACAGAGGCUUAGAGAGGUAGAGUUUAUUACCUGACUGGGGAGAGAUGAGAUUUACACAUGUGAAAUGAUGACUAAAUGACACGGGAGUGAUUAAGUGCCAAAUUGUGUGUUGCCACUGUAUUCAUUUUCAUUGCUGUGUAACACAUCCCCACAAAUAUAGAAGCUUUGGGGCAAGCCCAUAGGUCAAAUGUACAGCACCGAACAAUGGGGCUUUCUGCUGGGUGUUUCAUGAGACUGACAUCAAGGUGUUGGCUGGGGCGGCCAACAAUCUCAUCUGGGGCUCAGGGGCCUCUUCCAGGCUCGUUGGUUGUUGGCAGAGUUUAGUGCUCUCAGUUUUAGGAUGGCGAUCCCCAUUUUCCUGCUAGUCGUCAGUCACCAACUGCUCGCAGGUCCUAGAGUGGCACCUUUCCACGGCCAGUUCACACCAUGAGUAUUUGCUUUCCUUCGGGGCAGCUGGAGCACAUCCCCUUGGCUGCCCCUUCUGCUAUUAGCCAGACAACGCUCUCUGCUUUUCAAGGACUCCUGUGAUAAGGUCAGGCCCACCCUUCUUAAAGUCAACUGUGAUGUGAUAUAAUCGUAUCAUGACAGUAAAAUCCAUCCAAUUCACAGUCCGGGGGAUACCGGGCUGUGUACAAGGUGGGAGUGUGUGAAAUCCUGGGUGCCGUCUUAGAAUCCUGUGUAUUAUACCCCUGAAAAUAGAUUUUGUAUGCGCAGGUCAGAGCUAUUCCCAGGAGGGGGAGAAGGAAAGGUUUGUGUGUGUGUCUUGGUGGGGGUUAGGGUUGGACUGGGCGUUGGGCCUUGAAGGAUGGACCAUGCUGGAAAAGACAGCAUUCCUCUGAGAUGACGGCCUUAGAAACUCAACACCAUCAUUCAAGAUAAUUUGGGGAAAUCAAUGGGUAAGAAUUUCAAACAAUAUUAGAAAAAAAUUUCAGCACCAAGAUCAAGGAGGAAGCUGGUACUACUAGAUGUUAUGACAUGAUCAAAAUACUAAGUGAUGAGCAUGAAAAUAGACAUAUAGAUGAGAACAAAAACAGAACACCUCAAAAGAGAAAUGUAUUAUAUAUGUAUGUGUAUCAGAAUAAAUCAAGCGUCACAAAUGAACUGAAGAAAAUUGAUUAUUAAAAAAUGAUGUUUGGAUAACUACACAGAAACUUGGAAAAAAAAAGAGACAAAAUUUCCACUAUAAUUUGAAUAAUUCCACAAUUAUUCAAAAUAAAUGCCAGUGAAAUUAAAAUGUAAAUUAUAAAGAUAGAUUUAAAAUGCAAUCAUGAAAAUUGGGAGAAGAGAGUUUCAGGUCUUUGGGAGGAUAAGGACAUCCUAAGAUUAAAGCAGAUUAAAUUGCAAAGACAAUUACAAAGAACAAACUCAAACUCAUCCACAGAAAGAGUUAAAAUUUCUACACAGUAGUAACACAAAUUUAUUAAAAGAUUAAGGGGGGGACUUUUAACUGCAUAGGGAUUAAAAGAUUAAGACCUAUAAUAUCUAAACACAUAUUCCAAUGCUGAAGAUUAGAACUCCCACAAAGAGUAGACAAAAGACAUGAAUAGGUGAUUUAGACAACAGGUAAAAUAAGCUAGGAAAAAAAAAAAAAACUGGCGGAAAACUGUCAAAUUCUCUGAUUAAGUCAAUGCAAAUUAAAACUAUAAAAGUGAUCCCUAUUUCAAUGAAUUUAGUUCAGUUCUAUUAAACAUAAUUUUAAAUCAUAAAACCCAGUCCUGAAAUGAUCCUUGUACAGUGCACUCACACAUUUUUGGUAAAAGUAUAAUUGGGGCAAGCCAUUUGUGAAAAGAAAUUUGGUAAAAUGUCCUUCGAUGUAGUACCUUCAUUCUAGGAAAUCUGUCCCAGGAGCAUGAUUCAAAUGGCAAAAAAGUCCUGGUCACAAGCAUUUUAAAUGCAGGAUUACACAUAAUAUUGAAUAACCGAGAAUAACAGAAAGAGCAUACUUAACCUUUUAAAUUGUCAUUGAUGAUUGUGCUUAUGAAGACUAUUAAGGUGGAACGUGUUUGAAUACGUUACGUGGAAAAAGAUACUACUGAAUUCUGCCUAGAGGAUAACUCAAUAUUUUAAAAGUGUUUCUAUGGUAUUGGUGAAAUUAUCAGAAAAACAGUACUUUUACAUACUGUCAUUAGAAACACAAAUUAGUAUACCUUCUUGGGCAAAACAAUCUGCAAUGAGUAAAAUAUUUUAAACGCGAUGUGUGGAGUUCCCUUCAUGGCUCAGGGGUUAAUGAACCUGACUAGGAUCCAUGAGGUUGCGGGUUCCAUCCCUGGCCUCGCUCAGUGGGUUAAGGAUCCCGGUGUUGCCGUGAGCUGUGGUGCAGGCCACAGAUGGGGCUUGGAUCUGGCACUGCUGUGGCUGUGGUGUAGGCUGGCAGCUGUCGCUCUGUUUCAAUCCCUAGCCUGGGAGCUUCCAUAUGCUGCAGGUAUGGCCCUAAAAAGCAAAAAAUUAAACAAAACAAAAUAAAAUUAAAAAAAUAAAAAAUUAAAUGUGAUUUGUUUGCAGAUUCCACUUCUAGGACUGUAUCCUUCACAUAAACGUGCAUGUACACACAUAGAGACAUGUGAAUGUACGAUUUAUUGUAGAAUUGUUGACACAGCAAAGAUUGUACAAUGAAAAUGCCCACUGAUUGGUGACUAGGUAAAUAAAUCACAUUAGAACCUUUUAGUGGGAUAUUAUACCGUUGUUAAAAAGAAAAAGAGGGAAAACGAUAUGUUCUUCUGAUUGAAACAAUCUCUAAUAUAGGUUUUUAAAUUUAAAAAAAAUAGUUAAGAUGCAGAAUAAUGUGGAGACGGUGUGCCCCCAUUUGUAUAAAAGAAAAAUAACACAGAGAACCUGUAUAUGCUUAGAGAAUUCUUGGAAAGAUACCCCCAAACUGGUAACACUGGGGCCCUGGGGUGCAGCUAGAGAGUGGGGUCUGAAUUGAGGAGAAUUCUCAUUCGCUGCCCUUCUGUUCUAUUUGAAUGUUCUGCCAUGUGCAAGCAUUACUUUCCAAUGGCAAAAUAAUAGUUAAGAAAGGUCAUCUGAAAAAUGUUUUGCAGAGGAACAGAGAUGAGAUGGAAAUAGAUCUGUUGAAUUAGUGUGUUAGGGCGAUAUUCCACAUGGUCCCAGAUUAGAUAUUAACAUAGAAAAAUUAAAUUAAUUGAGAAUUAGAGUAGUAGAAUGGCAAGUCAUUCUUUCCUCUAAAAUGCAAUUUCAAUAUUGUUUUAAUGUUGCCAGUGAAAUAAAUGAAGAUUAGUGUGGGGGGAGGGACUGGGUGCCUGGGGAAUUAACUAAUAGCUUUAUAAAUAUGCUGCUCUGGAAUGAAUAAAGGGAAGAAUAAUCAGCCAAAGAGAGCUUGCAAAAUGGUCCAGGGAGUAAGCAAAAUUAGCAAGAGGAGUGUGUGUGUGUGUGUGUGUGUGUGUGUGUGUGUGUGUGUGUAUGCGGGGUGGGGUGGAGUCAGAGUGUCUGCUUGGUGGCGCAGCUGGCCAGGACACGCCAAGAGAGGAACUCAGGGACCACCUGGACAGCAAGCACAGAGGAACUGGGUAGGCUGAGGAAGGGGUCCAGACCUGCAGAAUACUAGGCUGAUGAGAAACAUCUAGAUCCCACCACAAAUCUCAAAUGAGACAUUUCCUUAGAGGGUAGGGCUAACCUCUAUACCUGUGAGAUGACUACUCUAGAAUUGUUUUUUUUUAUAUAUAUAUAUAGCUGAUUUACAGUGUUCUGUCAAUUUCUGCUAUACAGCAAAGUAACUCGGUUAUACAUAUAACUUCUUCUCACAUUAUCUUCUAUCAUGUUCUAUCACAGGUGAUUGGAUAUAGUUCCCUGUGCUAUACAGCAAGAUGUUAUUGCUUAUCCAUUCUAAGUGUAAUAGUUUGUAUCUAUUAACCCCAAACUCC
rnacentral:lncRNA from 1 species